GAAAGUAUACUUUCUUCAGGUAGAUUUGCCGCGCGUCUCAUGACCCGUCCUUCCAUUGUCCUUUGUUAUUUACAAAUUCUUUUUGUUACCCACAAAUCGAGUCGUUAAGAUUUGGAAGAGAAACAGGCAGUAAAAAAUAGAACGUAGAAGAGAAAGUUAGCAGGAGAGAUUAUACGGAUAUUUAUAAUAGAUAAUAUACAGUAAAUAAAAUUUAAAUAACGUGAAUAAUAAACGUAAAUUGUCGUUUCUUUGUUCACAGAGAAACAUAUUUUCGGUUAUCACCUAUAUGUAUAAUAUAUGAAGUAGAAGCAGUGUUUAUUCGUAAUCCGUUUGAUUUAUAUUUAAAAUAAUCUGAUUCAAUAAAAUUAGAUUCAAUAUAAAUAAGCGAUGUAGAGUUUAUGCUAAUUCAUAUUCUUCAUGAUUCUGGGACAGGAAGGUCAUCGUGCAAAAGAUCAACAAAGACUGAUAAUCAAUGCAAUCAUGCGGGUGAUAGUGAAUCGAGUGUUGUACCGUUUGAAUAAUAUAAUAAUCAUGAAUUAGAAGGAUCCUUCGUUUGUUAAUUUAAUUUCGUCCAUGUUUCGCGAUUUAAGAUUUAGUAUCACAUUCAGUUAAAUUGACUGCGAGCAAAGCAGUCAGUCAUAGAGUUAUGAUUUGUUCCUAUAAAGUUUAAAAUUAUUUUUCUUCUUAUAUUACACUAUUCGCGUAGUAGAGUCAGUGCAUUGAAGAAAAUGAUCAAAAAAUAAAAAAAUUUUCUUCUAUAAGAGCAUAUUGGUAGAUUUGCCGCGCGUCUCAUAACCCGCCUUUCCAUUGUCCUUUAUGAUUUACAAUUUCUUUUAUGACCUACAAAUCAAGUCGUUAAGAUUUGGAAGAGAGACGGACAGUAUGAAAUAUAACAUAGAAGAGAAAAGUAACACGAGGCUUAUAAGAAGAUCUAUA